UAUUAAGUGAUCCACUUUUGUUCUUAGUGGUUCUGUCCCUGCCUUUUGCUCUUGUAUCUAGA
rnacentral:sRNA from 1 species